UACGUAGGUGGCAAGCGUUGUCCGGAUUUACUGGGCGUAAAGAGCGCGCAGGCGGUCGAUCAAGUCGAGUGUGAAAGCCCCCGGCUCAACUGGGGAGGGUCAUUCGAUACUGAUCGACUCGAAGGCAGGAGAGGGUAGUGGAAUUCCCGGUGUAGUGGUGAAAUGCGUAGAUAUCAGGAGGAACACCAAUGGCGAAGGCAGCUCGCUGGGACGGUACUGACGCUGAGGCGCGAAAGCGUGGGGAGCAAACAGG
rnacentral:rRNA from 1 species